CAGGGAGACAACAAAAUGCUUAAUAUUAUUAUUUUGUCACCUUAGGACGAUCGGUAUCUCACGUUCUUAAUUUUUUAAGAAUUUCAUUUCCUAAGUUUUUCUAGGUCACACCCAUUAUUUUCCUGGGCCAUUAGCUCAGGUGGUUAGAGCGCACCCCUGAUAAGGGUGAGGUCCCUGGUUCAAGUCCAGGAUGGCCCAUAUCUCUAUGUUGGGGGUAUAGCUCAGUUGGUAGAGCGCCUGCUUUGCAAGCAGGAUGUCAGCGGUUCGAGUCCGCUUACCUCCACUGAUUACCACCUCUUCCAUAAUCUGUAGAAAGGAAAAUUUUUGAGUUGUGAUCAUUAUUCUGAACGAAUCUAGCUUCCUAAUGAAACCAUUAAGAUGCUGGACUCAUUGAAUUAAUUUCACUGUUUUCAGGGAACCUUGACAACUGCAUAGAUUAUUUUUAAAGACAAUAAGCAUCUUUAAUGAUGCAGAUUUAUUAUUUGUGCAAAUGCAUUAAUAACAAUUCUAUUAAGCUGAUGCUUCAAUCAUGAAGUUAUU
rnacentral:tRNA from 1 species